rnacentral:rRNA from 1 species
UACGAAGGGUGCAAGCGUUAAUCGGAAUUACUGGGCGUAAAGGGUGCGUAGGCGGUUGUUUAAGUCUGCCGUGAAAUCCCCGGGCUCAACCUGGGAAUGGCGGUGGAUACUGGGCAGCUAGAGUGUGUCAGAGGAUGGUGGAAUUCCCGGUGUAGCGGUGAAAUGCGUAGAGAUCGGGAGGAACACCAGCGGCGAAGGCGGCGUCCUGGACUGGUACUGACGCUCAGGAGCGAAAGCGUGGGGAGCGAUCCGG